AGAAUGAAUGGGCUUAUUAUCCUCUCCAUUCCUGGAAAAGGAAAUGAAAAUGAAAAUUUGCCUUAGAUGAGAAGAGAGGUGUAUAUGUUUAAGAGCUAAUAAUCAUUCUAUUGCCUUUCAGAAAAGAUGACAAUGGAAAACUCAGAUUUCGCUAAGUUUAUUCUUUGAAGCUCAGGAGAGCAAGGAAGAAUGGGAGAGGGAAGAAGAGAAAAUUAAUUCCAGGUGUAAGACGAGUUAGCCACCAGAAAGUUCUCUGCUGCCAGAAUGCUCCACACUAUGCACUCAAGAGUUUGAAAGGGAGAAAUCCAAAAAUGGGACCACGCCACAAAUUUUGUAAAGGCAGAGUCAGUCGUCUUUGUAAGAGGAUCCCUGGGGCACUUCCUCAGAUAUAACCCACCAGAACUGGAGACCACAGAAGAAGGCAAAGACCAAGGGACCUUCUCUGACCUCCAAGUUAACAAUGCUGCUCUUUGGUUUCAAGCUGAAGCCCCUCACCCUUCAAAGGAGAUUCAUCCCUCUCCAAGCUGCAUCAUGCUGACAAAGAUCAUUCUUGGAUGAACUCCUGCACCUAACUCACAAAGGCCACCCAUUCAGUCAUUGACUCUCAAUCACCCUUUGGCCAGUUGUGUUUGUCCUGCCUAGGGAAAGCUUGAGACUGGAAGCUUCUAUAGCUGUCUGUGCCAAGGAUACACAGAUUAUAGUAUCUCUGUCCCUCUCUGGCAUUGUUACUUAACUGAUCCUGACCUCUUGUUCUUUAUACUUUAAGUUUGUCAUACAUGUAACUAAUGAAUAAAUUGCAGGUUUGAAACGCCUGUGUAGUUCCU
rnacentral:lncRNA from 1 species